CUGCCUGCCCCAGCCCCAGCCUGGGUGGGCAAAGGUUCAGGGAUCAGGUUCAUUGUCCCUCAGAGCAGCUGCACUUCCCCACUGAUGGCUGGGCUGGAAUGCAACUGCAGAGACCUUCAGACCACCCUGCACCCCAGCAAACCUGGGCAACAACUAAUGCCACUGAAUUACACAUCUGACACUCCAGUUCUACUCAUCACACAAUUGCCAGUGAGUCAGACUCCCUGAGCUGGGAUGUGUCUCAGGUCGGACUGAGCCAUGGUAGUACCUGGAGAGAGUCACCAGGACACCAGAGAGCAGGGCACAGGGGAGAUGCCAACAGGCAUUUGGUUCUGCAACUUCACAGAAGCACGUUCUGUUUUCACCAGAGCUGGUGACUCUUAGUCCUGCCUAAUGCCAGAGCUUUGCCCUUUGAGCUUCACUCCACACCAUCACAGCCCUGGGAGCACACUGUGGGUCACAGGCUCUCCUGGACCAGAGGGCAAUUUUGGAUAUGGGCAGUCCCUGUGGCUUCCAGUUUAUGUGAACAGGAAAGGUCACUGACCUGAUCUUAUCCAAGACAAAGGGCUGGGAAGAGAAAAGAAAGGGUAACUAAAAAAAUCCACAAAUGUUCAGUUUGUGGGUAGCGCUUUAAGAAUGAAAUGUUUUCGGCUAGUCCCUUCAGGUGCCUGCCAUCCCACAGCCUCCAAAUAGGCAUGUGAUGCUGCAGGAAUGUGCUUCACAAGGUCUGGCAUUCUGAGAAGGGCAGCAGUUUAUCCACCUCCUCAGUGUUCUGCACCACAAUUAAUAGGAGCUUCACUGCUAUACAUCCAAGAUGUGGUCUGGCCCUGGAUAAGAUUUUAUAGCAACUCUUAAAAGGGAUGAGUUAUCAGAAAAAAACCAAACAUCUUAACAUCAACAAAACCUGCAAAAAAUAAAGCACAAGAAACCAACCACACAGGCACAAGCACAAGCUUCCAGACAUUUAAUUACAAAAUAAAUGCAUAUGACAGACAUCAACAAGCCUACAGGAAGAUUCCUGCUUCAGUAUUCAAUGCAGCCUCAAUAAAUAUUUCAAGGUUUCAAAUGGAUGCUUUGCAAUAGCACAGUUUCCAUUUGCACAAGUGCCAGAAGGAAGAAUUCAACACAGGCUUAAAGCAAAACCAGAGUAUUUUCCUGUAAAACUUUAAUUGGGAAACUGACACUAUAUAAUCUGUACAUCAUUGCCUCCGAGCUGUUGUUAAAAAAUUAAAGCUGUAUCAAAAGAACUGCUUUGUUAAAUUAACACGUUAUGCAUACCAGACAUAAUCUGCACCAGGAAGGGAAAUAGCUUUGAGUCCAAAAUGCACUGAUUGCUGUGGUCGUUAUUGACAGAGGCUGAGCCAAGCAAUGUCAGCACAAUAAAGCAUCUCUCAGGCCUCCAGUACAGACACACACCCUUCCAAACGCCCAGCCUUGAUUUCAAAACCCGAAUAAAACCAGCAGACGAGCAGGAUUUCAUUAUGGUGACAGUUACAGCUACAAAUCACACACCAGACUGGCCACGGGGGCCUCUCACCCAUGGACAGAAGACAUCCCAGGCCUUUGCCCAGGGGAAGCACUCCCUUCCCCACGCUUGCUCAGCAGCAUCUGCAGGAUCCCAGCACUGCCAGGACAGGCAUCUGCAGCCUGGGGGAGAGAAGUUGAGGGGCCUGGUUUGAGGAGAGGGAUGGUCAGACACAGGACAAGCAGCACAGAGCUCCUUAUAUUCUAGGCACAAGACAUAAAAAUGAGGUGGAUCUUCUGUUUAGAACUACCUCACCCAUUUUAGUAAAUACUCAGUAAAACACUCUCCCAUCUAUGUAUCUUGACAAUAGACAUGAGUACCACUACCCCAUUUUAAGGCCAGAGGAACUCAGGCACUGACACUCAGAGCAAUCCCCUCAAGGCCUCUAUGAACGUACUAAUUUAAAACCUCAUUUGCUCAGGGUUCUUUGCUGCAACUUGUCCAUUCUGACCCUGAGGUUUGCUCAGCAAACACAGGACAAAACCAAACCAAGUGCCCCAAGUGGUCCCAAGUCUAUGACCACCUCCUCCAUUGAACCUUUGCAAGCCCAUGUCACACUCACCAUCAGUUUGGCUUUAGAUCAGUGGGGGUUCAUCAAACAGGCCACACUUUGAAAUGUGACUCAUCACUUCGUGUGCCCAAACUCCCGACAACGCGACAGCCUCAAAGAGGCCAAGUUUUCUAAAAAUACAGAGCCUGCUCCCUCCGAAGAGCCUGCUUCCUCUCAUAUGUUUCAAGCUGUUCACCUCCGAAUUUGAAGUGCCAAAGCAAUUUUAGAAGAUCUGAAUGAUAACCUUUGCUCAGUAAGAUAUCACAGCCCUGCACGUGAUGGGCUGUAGCUUCAUUGCGUGUCCUGAGAGUCUGAGGCACUGCUGUGGUCUGCAGCGGUGAAGGCGGGUUAACAGUUUUGAGGCUUUCAAGAUAAGCAAAAUUUCCCCUGACGUUGUAAACUCUUCAGGUGGUUAGAGAGAACAGUUUCUGGUUUUUUGAUGUCUUCUCAGAAAAGAGCUCACACAAUUUUAUCAGUCUCUGGGGUGACCAUCAGAUAACCAAGCUAUUCCUGUCGGAACCACUCAAUGCAUCUCCCCCUUCCUGUCACUGGCAAUCCACAAGACGACCAGGGGAUUCGAGCUAACCACAGGGCUCACAACUUAACUGAUUAAGUAGGUGGGAACUGAUGCCAGCUCAGCUCAAAGUGCCUCUCUUGCUAACCAGAAGCUCGCCGCAAGCUGUGGAGGGGAAUGACCACAGAUAACACACUGAUACCGAAACGGUUUGGUGAAGCUGCAGCUUCCUGUUCGAGGGCUCUCGCAAUCUCUCAGAAAUGAAUCUUCAGCAGGAAACUGGCUGCAGUUAAACAGGCUGUCUGGGUCGUCAUGUGGCGUGUAUUACUGCCUCUUGUUUUCAAGGGACCAUUUAUUAUUCUCUCCUGCUCUUCCCUGGCUCUCUAGAAAUGAACUGAAUUAGGACUCCCCAGAGAACAGCAAGUCCUCAGGGGGAAGGAAAGAUGCUCAGACAAAUCAAAGCAGGAGAUGGCAGAAUUUCAUCAAUCUUGUAAAACAGAUAUAUGUUUUACCCACCUUAAAUGCAACAAUUCUUCCUUUGGUGAUUACCAACUGGUCUGAGCACGCUGCUCUAAGAGUUCAAAGCACACACCACGCAGUCUAUACCAUCCCUCAUCUACAGCACUCUAAUUGCUACAGGAUGUCCAAAAAUUGUCCUGUGCUUUGAUUAGCUGAUUUCAAGAGUAGCAUGAACCAUUUCAGCCAUGUCCAGAAAACCCAAACCCCACACUAGAUAGCUUCCUAAUCAAACCCAGCACUUCCUAACAGUUACAAACAGCAAAGUACCAGUCCAAAAAAACUGACCUGAGGUUUACAAACACCCAGCAUCUCCAUCUAACGUGCUUCCCAAAAACUGCCAGUGUCGUGAGGCUUUCUGGUGAACACAUGUGGGGAACUAAUCAGACAAGAGAAUUCCUGAGGAUACUACAGAUCUAGGCCAUAAGUGCUCAGGCACACAAAAUCUUAUCCAUCAUGUAGCACAGAGAUGAAAUGCAGACAGCAAAGGUAUGAAUCAGGCUACACUCCUGUAGAAAACCACUGCAGCCGUGUCCACAGUGAGGUAACUAUGAUAAAUGUUCCAUCCUCCUGGUUGCAAACCUCUGAAUAUUCACCAUCAGAAGCACAGCAAUUCAUCUGGAAAGAAUGUAUAAAUAAGGCAGCUAAUUCCAUUAAAUCCUACAUGUGAUACCACUGGAGUGUGGAACUCAGCAGCACUGUGUAAGGACCACUAGUGCUUGCUGGAUUUUUUAUUAUUGUUUGAGACACAUACUAACUCUAUAAUCAAAAGCAAUUUUGAGCUUAAAACUGACCUCGAGGUUACCAGACUCUAUGGCAGACUGUUCCCUUUCGUUGGGAGUACACUGCACAGCCAAGAUGUGAGCACACACACACCGGAUGGGCCACAGGGCUAAUUAAAAAGUGGCUUUGUUGGUUGUGUCUGUUCCAAGAGCAGGUUAGUAAACCAAACUUUAUAAAAAGUAAUGAAACCGAAGGUGCUACAGACGCAGACAAUUCCCACAAAAACAAAGCAGAGCUCAGAGUGAUGAACAGUUGUUUUACUCAACCUUAAUACCUUUGAGCUUCUGACCUGUGAUGAGCUGAAAAAAAGAUAGAACAGCUAAAGUCACUUGAAAACUAAGUUGAAACACAGGGUAUUCUGAACUGGAAGUUAAAAAUUUCUUCAUGAAAUUAAGUGUCAUUGAUCAAAGGGUUUUAAAACAACUUUGGGAUACAGCAAUGCCUGAAUUUCAAAAUUACACCACUGCCUCCUUAAAGUUAUUUAAUAAAACAAAAAGACAAGGAAAAAGCAGAGAGUACUUGGCCUCACCAGUUGCCAAAUGGAAUUGAUUCCUCUCACACCCAAGUUGUGCACAAUGGAUUCAUUUACAUUUCUGCCCUUGCCCUGAAUUCCCUGGCUUUCUAGAACUGCAGUUGGUUCUUCAGCAUCACAAAAGUCUCUUACAGUUUAAUUUAUUUAUUUUCUGUAAAAAGGAGAAAGGAAACCUUUCUGAAAUGUUAUCAGCAGGUCACAGUGGCUGAGGCAAGUGUUGACCACAAGGAACCGUGAUGCUGAAACACUGAGGCAGCAGGAAGUGCAAACACUGACCCUGUGCAGACAACACCUCACAUGGUUUCCAUCUGAGUGCUCCUCUUCCAGCAAAGCAAGAGCUGCAGAUGAGAAAUCUGGUCUCUGCAGCAACCAUCUCACUCCUGGAGCAGGAGCUGAACAGUUCCUGGACAGGCACCCAAGGCCCUGGGCUCCUCCCUGAGCUCCUGCAUGCAGGCACAGGCACGGUGCCACCCCGCUCUCUGCCCCUCAGGGACAGGGGAGUGCUGCCUUCCCACUGCAGCCCAACUACACCCCCGGUAUAUUUACAUUUUAGCAGCCAGCUCCACGGCAGCCAGGCUGAAAUACAAAGUGAGAACGAGAGAAACCUCAGCCUACAGCAGAUUUCCACCCCUUGGCAGCUUUCACAGCAGAGCUGCCACACCUUCAGCAAGUUACCAAAAGCUUUCUCCGUGUGAGAGCUGACUUAGGGUUGCAUCUGUUGUUUUGCUAAAUUAAAGUUGCAUCUUAGUCUUCUGUCAGGACAGGGAAGAAACUGAAGAUCUCUCUUGCCUUUAAUAACAUAUCCCAGUUUAAAAAAAAAGAUGACAUGGAAGAAAUACAAGCAGUGAAACUGAGUAAAGACCACUGACCUACAGGACUUACAGGAACACCUUCCUUACACUCUGGAUGUGCAGUGUUUUAUCAUCACCCAAAUAACACACCCUCUCUAGAAUAUUUCAGUGCAGUUUAACAUAGGGAAACCAUUUGGGGACUGACAGGAAAUCAAGGUAUUCCACUGAUUUGCACAAUUAAAUAUUUUAAAUCUCAUGAUGUUUCAAGACAACGGACAGUGAUCCCUCAUGCCAACAACACCCACAAGGUUGAUGCACCCAAUCCCUUUUCUUUAAUCUCUCUUGUUACCUCACUAUCAAGGUCAAAAAACCAUGUUCAUCUUUUAUUUCUAGAGGAGCAUUCUGCAGCAGCACUGUUAUUUCCUCAGCUGCUCCCCUUACACACCGUGGUUUUGGGUGCAGGUUUCUGCAAGGGCACAGUGAGAUACGAGAUAAAACAAGAAAGUGUGAACCCCUGUUACACCCCCACGAAUUUCCUCCGAGGAACUCACCACAGCACCCAGCACAGCAAACACCAGUGCGCUCCAGCAGCCCUCACAAAUGGGCUAUUUUAACCCUCUCUUAAGUUAUAAAACCCCAGCACUGCCCAUUCUCACUGCACAGGACUAUCAGAGAAUUAAGGAAAAAUCAAAAGCAAAUCCCCCAAGAGGCCCCACACUUAACCCCUGUUCAAUGUGCUCAUCAGGUAAGGAGCCCUGAUUCUAAUCUAAUCAACUGUCUGCUUUAAUCAUCUUUUUGUUGGCUUUGGUAAAGGGAAAGAGAGUUAAAACAAGGCAAUGGAUUCUAAGGAAAGAGACCCAUGAGGGCAAAUAACAAUGCAAAAACAGCUGUGACAGACAGGCAAACACCCUGCCCUGUUACACAAAGAACACUACAGCAUAUAUAUGACACAACUGCCUCAGGACAGUCUUAAUCAAAAAGGUCCAGAAAUAAAGACCAGAUAUUCUCAAA